UACCAGGGUUUCGAGGUCCGAAGCACAUUUGUGCCUGCACAAAAAUGUGCUUCGGACUUUGAAACCCGCCAGAAUAUGAGGAAGAAGCGGGGGAGGGGCCCCGCGAAUUCCGAAUAUUCUGUAGAACUGCGGGAGCACGGACGUGCGGAGCAGUUCGAGGUA
rnacentral:sRNA from 1 species